ACUACUGCUGAGCCUACCGUAGAUGGUUUGACUCUGUUUCUGUCUCGUUCCGUGGAUAGUAUGGUAGAUGCUAUUCUUCCCUGUAAGCAGAGCCUAAGAUGGAUGAUCUAGCAGAUGUGAUGCAUCGUUUUGUAUGCACUAAAGUAGAUGGUCUUAUCGAUUUCAACGAUUGUAAGAAGGCGGCUCAACAAUUUUUGGAUAUCUAUCAAAGUUCGGUGAACAAAAAAUCAAGGAGACGUAAACAUUUAAAGAGAAGCCAAUACAUCAACAAAUAUGAAACAAUAUAUGAGUGUGAAGAAGGUGAUAGAACAUCAACAGAUUGGAAACAACUUGGGUGCCACAACGGUAAAGAAGACAAUCUUCAACAGAUGUGAAACCAAAUGAGUGCAAAGACAAUACAUCAACAAAUGUGAAAGUUCUGUUCCGAGU